CUACGGGGUGCUGCAGUGGGGAAUAUUGGACAAUGGGCGAAAGCCUGAUCCAGCAAUACCGCGUGAAUGAUGAAGGCCUUGGGGUUGUAAAGUUCUUUUAGUUGGAAAGAUAAUGACGGUACCAACAGAAAAAGCCCCGGCUAACUCCGUGCCAGCAGCCGCGGUAAGACGGAGGGGGCUAGCGUUGUUCGGAAUUACUGGGCGUAAAGGGCGCGUAGGCGGAUUAGUAAGUUGGGAGUGAAAGCCCGGGGCUUAACCUCGGAACUGCUUUCAAAACUGCUAGUCUUGAGUGAAGUAGGGGAUGAUGGAAUUCCUAGUGUAGAGGUGAAAUUCUUAGAUAUUAGGAGGAACACCGGUGGCGAAGGCGGUCAUCUGGACUUCAACUGACGCUGAGGCGCGAAAGCGUGGGGAGCAAACAGGAUUAGAUACCCCCGUAGUC
rnacentral:rRNA from 1 species